rnacentral:rRNA from 1 species
UACGUAGGGUGCAAGCGUUAAUCGGAAUUACUGGGCGUAAAGCGUGCGCAGGCGGCUUUGCAAGACAGAUGUGAAAUCCCCGGGCUUAACCUGGGAACUGCAUUUGUGACUGCAUGGCUGGAGUGCGGCAGAGGGGGAUGGAAUUCCGCGUGUAGCAGUGAAAUGCGUAGAUAUGCGGAGGAACACCGAUGGCGAAGGCACUCUGCUGGGCCGACACUGACACUGAGAGACGAAAGCGAGGGGAGCGAAUGGG